UACGAAGGGGGCUAGCGUUGUUCGGAAUUACUGGGCGUAAAGCGAGCGUAGGUUGCUCGACGAGUCAGUGGUGAAAGCCCAGAGCUUAACUCUGGAACUGCCAUUGAAACUGUCGAGCUGGAAUCUCAGAGGGGAUAGCGGAAUUCCAAAUGUAGGGGUGAAAUCCGUAGAUAUUUGGAGGAACACCGGUGGCGAAGGCGGCUAUCUGGAUGAGUAUUGACACUGAGGCUCGAAAGCGUGGGGAUCAAACAGG
rnacentral:rRNA from 1 species